rnacentral:rRNA from 1 species
UGAGGAAUAUUGGACAAUGGGCGCAAGCCUGAUCCAGCCAUGCUGCGUGCAGGAAGAAGCAUUUAUGGUGUGUAAACUGCUUUUGUACGGGAAGAAACACUCCUUCGUGAAGGAGCUUGACGGUACCGUAAGAAUAAGGAUCGGCUAACUCCGUGCCAGCAGCCGCGGUAAUACGGAGGAUCCAAGCGUUAUCCGGAAUCAUUGGGUUUAAAGGGUCCGUAGGCGGUUUAGUAAGUCAGUGGUGAAAGCCCAUCGCUCAACGAUGGAACGGCCAUUGAUACUGCUAGACUUGAAUUACAAGGAAGUAACUAGAAUAUGUAGUGUAGCGGUGAAAUGCUUAGAUAUUACAUGGAAUACCAAUUGCGAAGGCAGGUUACUACUUGUGGAUUGACGCUGAUGGACGAAAGCGUGGGGAGCGAACA